GAGAGACACACACACACACAGCACACGGACACAGUGAGAGAGAAGUUCAACAGAUCUUCACGUACAGAGGGCCUGGACUACCCCCGGAAGCACGGUAAAACAUGUCUCCUAUUGGAACCUGUGGCACUCGCACACACAUGCCCAGCGUGUUUUGAAAGCCAUCAGGUCCAGGACUUGACCUUCACUCAGCUUCGUGGGAUCUUGCUGCCUCAGCCACCACGCUUCAGGCUGGCCCCUGCCUUGGACUCUCUGAAAAGGUGGGGUAGGUGUUGGAAGUGGAUGGACUCGCAGAGGUGUGCUUCUUCCUGUGUCUUCCCUUCCUGCUGUGUGUGUACAAAUGACCUGCGCUCGUGGUCCUUCUCGGCCAUGGAACACAUAGGCUUGAGGAUUUGUCUUCAGACUUGUGAAAUUACACAGCUUAAUCUGUAGUAGUAAAGUCUCUAUGGCAACAGCACGUGACUUUGGAGACACUUGUCCGACUUCACUACAGACUUAAGUGGAAGAAAAUAUGAACCUCGAGUGUAGGGCUCAAUGGGUGUCUGUGUGAAUAAAGGAUCUGCCUACCAAAACCAUAAACCUUUAGUA